rnacentral:rRNA from 1 species
AUGCAAAACCGCGAGGUGGAGCGAACCCCUAAAAGCCGUCCCAGUUCAGAUCGCAGUCUGCAACCCGACUGCGUGAAGUCGGAAUCGCUAGUAAUCGCGGAUCAGCAUGCCGCGGUGAAUACGUUCCCGGGCCUUGUACACACCGCCCGUCACACCAUGAGAGUCGGGAACACCCGAAGUCCGUAGCCUAACCGCAAGGGGGGCGCGGCCGAAGGUGGGUUCGAUAAUUGGGGUGAAGUCGUAACAAGGUAAC